rnacentral:rRNA from 1 species
UGACUAAGCCAUGCGAGUUGAAUGUUCUUCGUGAACAUGGCGGACUGCUCAGUAACACGUGGACAACCUACCCUUGGGUCCGGCAUAAUCCUGGGAAACUGGGAAUAAUUCCGGAUAGGUCACCGAUGCUGGAAUGCGCGGUGGCCGAAAGCUCCGGCGCCCGAGGAUGGGUCUGCGGCCUAUCAGGGUUGUAGUGGGUGUAACGUACCUACUAGCCUACGACGGGUACGGGUUGUGAGAGCAAGAGCCCGGAGAUGGAUUCUGAGACACGAAUCCAGGCCCUACGGGGUGCAGCAGGCGCGAAAACUUUACAAUGCGGGAAACCGUGAUAAGGGGAUCUCGAGUGCCAGCAUAUAAUGUUGGCUGUCCAGAUGCCUAAAAAGCAUCUGUUAGCAAGGGCCGGGCAAGACCGGUGCCAGCCGCCGCGGUAACACCGGCGGCCCGAGUGGUAACCGCUAUUAUUGGGUCUAAAGGGUCUGUAGCCGGCCAGGUAAGUCCCUUGGGAAAUCUGGCAGCUCAACUGUCAGGCUGCUAGGGGAUACUGUUUGGCUUGGGACCGGGAGAGGUGAGAGGUACCUUGGGGGUAGGGG